CCUACGGGAGGCAGCAGUGGGGAAUAUUGGACAAUGGGCGAAAGCCUGAUCCAGCAAUUCCGCGUGUGUGAAGAAGGCCUUCGGGUUGUAAAGCACUUUAGGUUGGGAAGAAAAAACUUCUCCUAAUACGAGAAGCGUUGACGGUACCAACAGAAUAAGCACCGGCUAACUCUGUGCCAGCAGCCGCGGUAAUACAGAGGGUGCAAGCGUUAAUCGGAUUUACUGGGCGUAAAGCGUGCGUAGGUGGUUUCGUAAGUCGGAUGUGAAAGCCCCGGGCUCAACCUGGGAACUGCAUUCGAUACUGCGAGACUCGAGUUUGGUAGAGGGUGGCGGAAUUCCCGGUGUAGCGGUGAAAUGCGUAGAUAUCGGGAGGAACAUCAAUGGCGAAGGCAGCCACCUGGGCCUGAACUGACACUGAGGCACGAAAGCGUGGGUAGCAAACAGGAUUAGAUACCCUGGUAGUCCACGCCGUAAACGAUGAGAACUUGACGUUGGUUCGUUUUACGAAUCGGUGUCGUAGCUAACGCGAUAAGUUCUCCGCCUGGGGAGUCGGCCGCAAGGUUGAAACUUAAAUGAAUUGACGGUUNUGAGAGUGCGAGGCGACGACGAGGGAGGAGG
rnacentral:rRNA from 1 species